rnacentral:rRNA from 1 species
AUUGAACGCUGGCGGCAGGCCUAACACAUGCAAGUCGAACGAGUGGCGGACGGGUGAGUAAUGUCUGGGAAACUUCCCGCUGGCGGGGGAUAACUACUGGAAACGGUAGCUAAUACCGCAUACCAUCGGAUGUGCCCAGCUGGGAUUAGCUAGUAGGUGGGGUAACGGCUCACCUAGGCGACGAUCCCUAGCUGGUCUGAGAGGAUGACCAGCCACACUGGAAUUGAGACACGGUCCAGACUCCUACGGGAGGCAGCAGGGGGGAAUAUUGCACAAUGGGCGAAAGCCUGAUGCAGCCAUGCAGCGUGUAUGAAGAAGGCCUUCGGGUUGUAAAGUACUUUCAGCGAGGAGGCGUUACUCGCAGAAGAAGCACCGGCUAACUCCGUGCCAGCAGCCGCGGUAAUUC